rnacentral:rRNA from 1 species
CGGUUGAUCCUGCCGGACCCGACUGCUAUCGGGAUGGGACUAAGCCAUGCGAGUCGUACGCCUCCCGGCCACGUGGGAGGCGUGGCGCACGGCUCAGUAACACGUAGCCAACCUACCCUGGAGACGGGGAUAACCCCUGGGAAACUGGGGCUAAUCCCCGAUAGGGCAGGACGUCUGGAAGGAGUCCUGCCUCAAAAGGCUAGGUGAGCAUGCUCACCUAGUCGCUCCAGGAUGGGGCUGCGGCCGAUCAGGUAGUUGGUGGGGUAAUGGCCCACCAAGCCUAUAACCGGUACGGGCUCUGAGAGGAGGAGCCCGGAGAUGGACCCUGAGAAAAGGGUCCAGGCCCUACGGGGCGCAGCAGGCGCGAAACCUUCGCAAUGCGCGAAAGCGCGACGAGGUCAUCCCGAGUGCCACCCGCUGAGGGUGGCUUUUACCGGGUCUAAAAAGCCCGGCGAAUAAGGGGAGGGCAAGCCUGGUGUCAGCCGCCGCGGUAAUACCAGCUCCCCGAGUGGUCGGGACGUUUAUUGGGCCUAAAGCAUCCGUAGCCGGCCCCGUAAGUCCCCUGUUAAAUCCAACGGCUCAACCGUUGGGCUGCGGGGGAUACUACGGGGCUAGGAGGCGGGAGAGGCGGACGGUAUUCCCCGGGUAGGGGUAAAAUCCUCUGAUCCGGGGAGGACCACCAGUGGCGAAGGCGGUCCGCCAGAACGCGCUCGACGGUGAGGGAUGAAAGCCGGGGGAGCGAACCGGAUUAGAUACCCGGGUAGUCCCGGCUGUAAACGAUGCGGGCUAGGUGCUGGAGCGGCUACGGGCUGCUCCAGUGCCGCAGGGAAGCCGUUAAGCCCGCCGCCUGGGGAGUACGGCCGCAAGGCUGAAACUUAAAGGAAUUGGCGGGGGAGCACCACAAGGGGUGAAGCCUGCGGUUUAAUUGGAGUCAACGCCGGGAACCUUACCGGGGGAGACAGCAGGAUGAUGGUCAGGCUAAAGACUUUGCCGGACGAGCUGAGAGGAGGUGCAUGGCCGUCGCCAGCUCGUGCCGUGAGGCGUCCUGUUAAGUCAGGCAACGAGCGAGACCCCCGCCCCUAAUUGCUACCGUGGUUCGAAAGGACCACGGGGCUAGUUAGGGGGACUGCCGCCGCUAAGGCGGAGGAAGGGGGGGGCUACGGCAGGUCAGUAUGCCCCGAAACCCCCGGGCCACACGCGGGCUGCAAUGGUAGGGACAGUGGGUUCCGACCCCGAAAGGGGGAGGUAAUCCCUAAACCCUACCUCAGUUAUGAUUGAGGGCUGCAACCCGCCCUCAUGAAUCUGGAAUCCCUAGUAACCGCGUGUCACCAUCGCGCGGUGAAUACGUCCCUGCUCCUUGCACACACCGCCCGUCGCUUCACCCGAGUCGGGUCUAGGCGAGGUGACGUCUUGUUGGCGUCAUCGAACCUAGGCUCGGCAAGGGGGGAGAAGUCGUAACAAGGUAGCC